GACAGAGGGUGCUAGCGUUGUUCGGAAUGACUGGGCGUAAAGGGCGCGUAGGCGGGAAUAUUAGUCAAGCGUGAAAGCCCCAGGCUUAACCUGGGAACAGCGCAUGAAACGGUAUACCUAGAGGACGAGAGAGGGAAGCGGAAUUCCUAGUGUAGAGGUGAAAUUCGUAGAUAUUAGGAGGAACACCAGAGGCGAAGGCGGCUCUCUGGCUCGUAACUGACGCUGAGGCGCGAAAGCGUGGGGAGCAAACAGG
rnacentral:rRNA from 1 species